rnacentral:lncRNA from 12 species
UGUCCAGGUGCGUGGGGGGGAGGGGCACAGGUGCGCCCAGGUGAGCCACACAUACACACACAGACGUCCCCAGGUGUGUCCAGGUGUGCCCAGGUGUAUCUCAGGUGCGCCCAGGUGUGCCCAGGUGUGUCCAGGUGUAUCUCAGGUGCGCCCAGGUGUUUUCCCAGGUGUGUCCGGAUAAGGGCUCAGGUGCCCCCCCCAGCUGUGCCCAGGUGUAUCUCAGGUGUCCCCAGGUGCGUCUCACCUGAGUUUGGGGUCCUUUUUGAGCAGCCCCCCCCAGCAGGGCGCGGCUCUCAGGUGAGAGGCUGUGCAGGAAGCGGAUCCCAGCUGUGCCCAGCUGUACCCAGGUGUACCCAGGUGUACCCAGAUGUAUCCCAGGUGUACCCAGAUGUAUCCCAGGUGUAGCCAGGUGUAUC